GUGGGGAAUUUUGGACAAUGGGCGCAAGCCUGAUCCAGCAAUGCCGCGUGCAGGAAGAAGGCUUUCGGGUUGUAAACUGCUUUUGUACGGAACGAAACGGUCCUGGUUAAUACCUGGGGCUAAUGACGGUACCGUAAGAAUAAGCACCGGCUAACUACGUGCCAGCAGCCGCGGUAAUACGUAGGGUGCAAGCGUUAAUCGGAAUUACUGGGCGUAAAGCGUGCGCAGGCGGUUUUGUAAGACAGAGGUGAAAUCCCCGGGCUCAACCUGGGAGCUGCCGUUGUGACUGCAAGGCUGGAGUGCGGCAGAGGGGGAUGGAAUUCCGCGUGUAGCAGUGAAAUGCGUAGAUAUGCGGAGGAACACCGAUGGCGAAGGCAAUCCCCUGGGCCUGCACUGACGCUCAUGCACGAAAGCGUGGGGAGCAAACAGGAUUAGAAACCCGGGUAGUCC
rnacentral:rRNA from 1 species